rnacentral:rRNA from 1 species
GACGAACGCUGGCGGCGUGCUUAACACAUGCAAGUCGAACGGAAAGGCCCCUUCGGGGGUCCUCGAGUGGCGAACAGGUGAGUAACACGUGAGUAACCUGCCCUUGACUUCGGGAUAACUUCAGGAAACUGGGGCUAAUACCGGAUAGGAAUCCUUGCUGCAUGGUGGGGGUUGGAAAGCUUCGGCGGUUUUGGAUGGACUCGCGGCUUAUCAGCUUGUUGGUGGGGUAGUGGCUUACCAAGGCUUUGACGGGUAGCCGGCCUGAGAGGGCGACCGGCCACAUUGGGACUGAGAUACGGCCCAGACUCCUACGGGAGGCAGCGGUGGGGAAUAUUGCACAAUGGGCGGAAGCCUGAUGCAGCAACGCCGCGUGCGGGAUGACGGCCUUCGGGUUGUAAACCGCUUUCAGCAGGGGCGAAGCUUGUGGUGACGGUACCUGCAGAAGAAGCACCGGCUAACUACGUG